UAGGGAAUAUUGGGCAAUGGACGGAAGUCUGACCCAGCCAUGCCGCGUGCAGGAUGAAGGCGCUAAGCGUUGUAAACUGCUUUUAGAUGGGGCGAAAAUUGGUCAUUUAUGAUCAACUGACGGUACCAUCGGAAUAAGCACCGGCUAACUCCGUGCCAGCAGCCGCGGUAAUACGGAGGGUGCAAGCGUUAUCCGGAAUCACUGGGUUUAAAGGGUGCGUAGGCGGGUUUAUAAGUCAGUGGUGAAAGCUCAUCGCUUAACGAUGGAAUUGCCAUUGAUACUGUGAAUCUUGAAUCAAGUUGAGGUUGGCGGAAUGUGACAUGUAGCGGUGAAAUGCAUAGAUAUGUCAUAGAACACCGAUUGCGAAGGCAGCUGACUGGACUUAGAUUGACGCUGAGGC
rnacentral:rRNA from 1 species